CAACGUUUCUGUCCUCCUCAAGGACCUUCAUCAGGAUCAUAAAACAUUUUUAUGAUCCUGAUGAAAGUCCUUGAGGAGGACUGAAACUUU